CCGCCUGAAGAACAAAGUGAAGAAACUGGAAGCCCAGGAGCCCGCCUAAAAAAUAGGGUGAAGAAGUUGUAAGUCCAGGAGCCCGCCUGAAGAACUGGGUGAAGAAAUUGGAAGUCCAGGAGCCCGCAUGAAGAACAGGGUGAAGAAAUUGUAAGUCCAGGAGCCCGUCUGAAGAACAAAGUGAAGAAACUGAAAGUCUAGGAGCCCGCCUCAAGAACAGGGUGAAGCAUUUGUAAGUCCAGGAGCCCGCCUGAAGAACAGGAUGAAGAAAUUGGAAGUUCAGGAGCCCGCCUGAAGAACAGGGUAAAGAAAUUGUAAGUCCCGGAGCCCG
rnacentral:lncRNA from 1 species